AUUUUGGCUCAAGCACUCUAAUAGCAUACAAUAAUAUAAACUGCUAACACUAACAUUCAGUUCAGUAGCUGCUGAAGAAGCUGUCUUCACCCAGGAAAGGAAAGAGUCUCUUACAAAUCUUGCGAUUACUGCACUGUAAUGAGUUAAUACAGACUGCAGCUUGUUAAAAGGGCUGAGAUGAACCAGCAGAUAUAUGUGGGGAGGUUUAUGCUAGCACCUACUCCUACAGGGUAUGAGUCAGGCCAGUGCUGUUGCUUUUUCACUUUUAUAAGCAUUAAACUUUGCAAGCUUUUGAGCUACUCUGAAAUUUCAGGUACAGAUUUUUUAACUGACUAACAAGCUAAAAUGUCUGCAGGCUGAUAAAAAUGCAAAACAAUCUUAAAAAAAACCAACCUAACACAAGUAAGCGAGCAGAAGAAAUAAUGACUAAAGAAAAAAAGGAAAAGGUGGGUCUAUGUAGGAGUCACAGUGCAAGAGUAAAACCAAAGGUCUAAACGUUGAAUGUUUCAAGUAUUAUACAGAUGUAUAAUGUUUUAAAGAUGAUUUACUAACUUGUCUCAUUCAAAGAUUUACUUAUUAGCUGUAAUCCAGUCCAGCCUCUCUCUUAAUUUGAGCUCUGACCUGUGGGGUUUAAGAUUAUAUACAUUCAGUGGGUAGCGCUCUCUUUUUAAAGCAAACAAUCAAAAAAACCCCCAACCUUAAAACAUUGAUCUAAGCAUGGCAACAUGCUUAGACACAUCACAUCUGCUCUGAAGAGAGAAGUGACUGCUUGAAGGAGACAGGAAGGUGAGAGCAAAGGGUUAUGUUUGAGUCACCUUCUCACUGUGGCUAGUGUAACUCUUCUGACUCCUUUGACUUGUGAGGAAGCUGAGGAGGAGCAGGAAAAUCAGUCUCCAUUUUCAGGAACAGAAGUGAGACUGACCUUUAACUGACCAUUCAAGCCAACUGACUGACCAUUUAAGCCGUGAUUUUGCUAAGCAGACCUUCAGGCUCUUCAAGGCUUUCCCUGCUUUUGCUGUGCCGGCGUGUGAGGCUUCUGUGGCUGGUACAAGUGCAGAACUGGCAGAAGAUGCUACACUGUGCAUGAGAAGGAAAAAAACCAGGCGAUAUGAAAACAAUGGAGCCCUCUUGGCAGGAGGCCAGCCCGAAGCCAUCUAUUACCCUCCGUGCUGAAGUUCUGACAAGGAGAACAAGGCAGCUGUCCUUAUGGUAAUUGAUAUUAAUGACUGAGGUUAGAGUCCAUCGAGCCAGCUUGGGACUUAACAACAGACAAAGAGAAACCCCAGCCCAGCUCUGUAGCAAUAGGGGCAGAGUAGUCUGAAGGCAAAUCAAUGAAAUGGGAGCAGA